rnacentral:misc_RNA from 1 species
CAAGGUAUCCCUACCGGAAGGUGGGGAUGGAUCACCUCCUUUCUAAGGAAACAAUUAUCAUCUUCAGUUUUGAGAGACUUAAGAAAGUUUUUCAUUGUAACUUGCUUGCAAAUUGUAUCUGCAACAUUUUAAUCUUUUUAAGAUUAAGGGCCUAUAGCUCAGUUGGUUAGAGCACACGCCUGAUAAGCGUGAGGUCGGUGGUUCAAGUCCAUUUAGGCCCACCAUAACCACAAAUAGGCAAAAUCUUAAAAAAGCUCUUUGAAAAGUAGAUAAACGAAGGUUAAAAAAUCAAAGGAACUAAGGGCGCACAGUGGAUGCCUUGGCACU